GCAGAGAGGCUCUUACACACUCCCCUUUCAUAAUUUAGCACACUGGAAUCUUCUAGUGAAAUCAGGCCACUGAUGAACCACUGUGACACCUGUAGAAGUCAGAAAACUCCAGUGAAUCCUGGCCUCAAGGAGCUGUUGGCAGGCUGCUUUUGGUUCCAUCACUACAUCUGGACUCCAAGCAGAAGAUAUGACUUCUCCAGUCCUGCUGAGACCUCAGAGGCCUCAGAGCCCUGUCCUGGGUCAGCAUGAAGAAGAAAAACCACACAGGCAGCUCCUUGGAGGCAGAGAUCCUCCACAUGACCACUCUGAAUUGCUCAAGAACAGCCUCCAGGAACAAAUGCAGGAAUUUGAGAAUGAACUGCACACAAAAAUCAGAUUUCCAC
rnacentral:lncRNA from 1 species